rnacentral:sRNA from 1 species
AAAAGGAGGCCCCUUACCAUUGAGCCCAAACAUUAAUCGGAUUGCACUCAUUGAUAUGAGAGAAGUAUUCCCGAUUACUUCAUGGAAUAUUCAUUGGAAAUUCAUGUUCUAGUUUUGUUGUUUCUAGAAAAUCACUCAAGGCCUUUGGAAAUCUUUACUUUAAAACUUAAAAUAGAGGCGAAAUAAUACGACAUAGGUAUACCUGGAUAAUGCAAAAUGCAACCAAAAUGAAAAGAUGACCUUAAAACGUUCUAUUAUAACAUCAGAAUAAAAAAUAUAUUAUAUACGUGUAGUAAAA